AAACUCAGUUGUGUGGAAAUACACCUUUGACAAGCUUUAGUGUUGCUUUUGCUUUAAAAUGGAGCAGCAGAAAGAGCAGCAAGAUGCAAGUGACAAGCACCAACCACAGUCAUCAGAAAGUAAAGUUACAGAAAAUAAAGGGGAGCCGAAGCAGAGUGUUAGCCUUGGCCACGAACAUGAGAGAACUUUGACUGAGAAAUGCCUCGAUAUUCUAUGCUGUCGCUGUUUCUGUAAAGAACCUUUCAUUCCAAAAUAAGAAGUCGCAAAAGAUGGAUCAAUGCUGAUUACUUCAGGGAUGCGAAAACUGGCUUCUUUCGACUGAAAGGUUCACAAGGCGUGGAUGACCACCAUAUCUAGUGUGCUAUACUAGUAUUUUAUUGUUUCAGAUUUUUUACUAUGCAAGAGUGGAUCUAUAAUUUAGUAAGUAAUUUCGUGAGACAUUUAUCUGUUUCUCUGGAUCUCAAAAUUCUGUUCUUGAUGCUCAUCAUUCAUCAAGAUUAUAAUCCUCAAGAAAAUAACAUAAUGUAACAGAACUUUAUAUUUUCAUAUCUACGCCAAGGGUAGUGUUUUUACAUUUUUAUUGUUGCUAGAAAGUGUUGUAGUUGAUAUCUCUAGCCAUAAUGGGUCCAUUUUCAGAGAC